CAAUUAGGUUCUUCAGCUAAUUAUUGGAUCUUAUAAAUGAUUCUUCAAAAAACAGCUACGAGGAUUAGGUUGUGCCUUUAUACGGAGCUCUGAGAAAGGAUUUCCAUGCAGCAAGAGGAGAAUCGCCAUGCGGAUUGCAAUUUCUUCUCUUCGGUGAGGGGAAGGGUCUGCAGCUCAUCUGUAUCAGUUCAACUUUACCACCAAGCCAGCUGGACAUAGGACACUUGUUCAUCUGUCCACAAGCAUAUCAGGAACUGGGGGCUCAUUUCUGGCAGCAGAACUGCACAUCCACAAAGCCCUGCCUUAUGCACAGAGACCUGUUGUUCCAAUGCCAUCUGCUUGUGUAUGAACGGUCAGAGGUAACAGGGUUCUCCUGCUGCGUGAGAAACUGUGUGGAUGAAUACAAGUGACACUAAGGGCAGGCAUCGUUCUCAUAAUGCGUGUCUUACAAGUGUUGGAGGUAGUCACUAUAACAACAGCGCCUCAAAUUUGUGUCCACUUGAACUGCUCCGUCUCUGUAAUCGCCGAGCAAGAAUGAGCAGCCAAAGAAGUGCCGAGUUUAUGCAAGCAAAACUGACCCAGCUGAUGCCAAGAGGAGCUGGAGAGCAGCAGCCCGUGCCCCACGCCUGCUCCGCGGAGCCCCGCGGGGAUGGGGCUGCGGUGCCCGGCUCCUGUCUGACUCGUUCUGCUCCCCUCCUGCUCCCUGCCUGCACAGCCGCAAGGUAUAGGGCAGAACUGAAGGCUUUUUUUUUUUUUUUCUUCCCCCCACUCCCUUUUUCUUUUUUAAUAACUUUAUCAACUCUGAACCCCAGGAUGAUUUGUGCGUUUCGCUCUCCCUGCGCUUUUACUCUCGGUUAG
ensembl:lncRNA